CUUCAACGGAGAGUUUGAUCCUGGCUCAGGACGAACGCUGGCGGCGUGCUUAACACAUGCAAGUCGAACGGUAAGGCCCUUCGGGGUAC
rnacentral:rRNA from 1 species